rnacentral:rRNA from 1 species
UGCAAGUCGAACGGUGAAGGUGGAGCUUGCUCUGCUGGAUCAGUGGCGAACGGGUGAGUAACACGUGAGCAAUCUGCCCCUGACUCUGGGAUAAGCGCUGGAAACGGCGUCUAAUACCGGAUAUGAACUGCGAAGGCAUCUUCAGUAGUUGGAAAGAAUUUCGGUCAGGGAUGAGCUCGCGGCCUAUCAGCUUGUUGGUGAGGUAAUGGCUCACCAAGGCGUCGACGGGUAGCCGGCCUGAGAGGGUGACCGGCCACACUGGGACUGAGACACGGCCCAGACUCCUACGGGAGGCAGCAGUGGGGAAUAUUGCACAAUGGGCGCAAGCCUGAUGCAGCAACGCCGCGUGAGGGAUGACGGCCUUCGGGUUGUAAACCUCUUUUAGCAGGGAAGAAGCGAAAGUGACGGUACCUGCAGAAAAAGCGCCGGCUAACUACGUGCCAGCAGCCGCGGUAAUACGUAGGGCGCAAGCGUUAUCCGGAAUUAUUGGGCGUAAAGAGCUCGUAGGCGGUUUGUCGCGUCUGCUGUGAAAACUGGAGGCUCAACCUCCAGCCUGCAGUGGGUACGGGCAGACUAGAGUGCGGUAGGGGAGAUUGGAAUUCCUGGUGUAGCGGUGGAAUGCGCAGAUAUCAGGAGGAACACCGAUGGCGAAGGCAGAUCUCUGGGCCGUAACUGACGCUGAGGAGCGAAAGGGUGGGGAGCAAACAGGCUUAGAUACCCUGGUAGUCCACCCCGUAAACGUUGGGAACUAGUUGUGGGGUCCAUUCCACGGAUUCCGUGACGCAGCUAACGCAUUAAGUUCCCCGCCUGGGGAGUACGGCCGCAAGGCUAAAACUCAAAGGAAUUGACGGGGACCCGCACAAGCGGCGGAGCAUGCGGAUUAAUUCGAUGCAACGCGAAGA